UACGAAGGGGGCUAGCGUUGUUCGGAAUUACUGGGCGUAAAGCGCACGUAGGCGGAUACUUAAGUCAGGGGUGAAAUCCCGGGGCUCAACCCCGGAACUGCCUUUGAUACUGGGUAUCUCGAGUCCGGAAGAGGUGAGUGGAAUUCCGAGUGUAGAGGUGAAAUUCGUAGAUAUUCGGAGGAACACCAGUGGCGAAGGCGGCACACUGGUCCGGUACUGACGCUGAGGUGCGAAAGCGUGGGGAGCAAACAGG
rnacentral:rRNA from 1 species